rnacentral:rRNA from 2 species
GUGAGAGGGAAGAGCUCAAAUUUGAAAGCUGGUACCUUCGGUAUCCGCGUUGUAACCUCGAGACACGUUUUCCGUGCGGCGCUAUGGACAAGUUCCUUGGAACAGGACAUCGUAGAGGGUGAAAAUCCCGUACUUGCCAUGGAUGUACCGUGCUUUGCGAUACGUGCUCUAAGAGUCGAGUUGUUUGGGAUUGCAGCUCAAAAUGGGUGGUAGACUCCAUCUAAAGCUAAAUAUCGGGGAGAGACCGAUAGCGAACAAGUACCGUGAGGGAAAGAUGAAAAGCACUUUGGAAAGAGAGUUAAAAGUACGUGAAAUUGUCGAAAGGGAAGCGCUUGAAGUCAGCCAUGCCGCUCAGGACUCAGCCUGGCUUUUGCUUGGUGUAUUUCCUGGGUAGCAAGUCAGCAUUGGUUUGGAUCGUCGGAGAAGCAUAGUCGGAAUGUGGCGCCCUCGGGCGUGUUAUAGCCUUCUAUUGGAUACGACGAUCUAGACCAAGGAACGCAGCGCGCCUUAUGGCGGG